AGCAGUGGGGAAUUUUGGACAAUGGGCGAAAGCCUGAUCCAGCAAUGCCGCGUGAGUGAAGAAGGCCUUCGGGUUGUAAAGCUCUUUUGUCAGGGAAGAAACGGUGAGGGCUAAUAUCCCUUGCUAAUGACGGUACCUGAAGAAUAAGCACCGGCUAACUACGUGCCAGCAGCCGCGGUA
rnacentral:rRNA from 1 species